UACAGAGACUGCAAGCGUUAUUCGGAUUCACUGGGCGUAAAGGGUGCGCAGUCGGCCAAGUGUGUCUGGUGUGAAAUCUCGGGGCUUAACUCCGAAAUUGCGCCGGAAACUACAUGGCUAGAGUACUGGAGAGGGUAGCGGAAUUCAUGGUGUAGCAGUGAAAUGCGUAGAUAUCAUGAGGAACACCAAUGGCGAAGGCAGCUACCUGGACAGUUACUGACGCUCAGGCACGAAAGCGUGGGGAGCAAAAGGG
rnacentral:rRNA from 1 species